rnacentral:rRNA from 1 species
CUAGUAACGGCGAGUGAAGCGGCAACAGCUCAAAUUUGAAAUCUGGCUUCGGCCCGAGUUGUAAUUUGCAGAGGAAGCUUUAGGCGCGGCACCUUCUGAGUCCCCUGGAACGGGGCGCCAUAGAGGGUGAGAGCCCCGUAUAGUUGGAUGCCUAGCCUGUGUAAAGCUCCUUCGACGAGUCGAGUAGUUUGGGAAUGCUGCUCAAAAUGGGAGGUAAAUUUCUUCUAAAGCUAAAUACCGGCCAGAGACCGAUAGCGCACAAGUAGAGUGAUCGAAAGAUGAAAAGCACUUUGAAAAGAGGGUUAAACAGCACGUGAAAUUGUUGAAAGGGAAGCGCUUGUGACCAGACUUGCGCCAGGCUGAUCAUCCGGUGUUCUCACCGGUGCACUCGGCCCGGCACAGGCCAGCAUCGGUUCUCGCGGGGGGAUAAAGGUCUCGGGAACGUAGCUCCUCCGGGAGUGUUAUAGCCCGGGGCGUAAUGCCCUCGCGGGGACCGAGGUUCGCGCAUCUGCAAGGAUGCUGGCGUAAUGGUCAUCAGCGACCCGUCUUGAAACACGGACCAAGGAGUCAAGGUUUUGCGCGAGUGUUUGGGUGUCAAACCCGCACGCGUAAUGAAAGUGAACGUAGGUGAGAGCUUCGGCGCAUCAUCGACCGAUCCUGAUGUUUUCGGAUGGAUUUGAGUAGGAGCGUUAAGCCUUGGACCCGAAAGAUGGUGAACUAUGCUUGGAUAGGGUGAAGCCAGAGGAAACUCUGGUGGAGGCUCGCAGCGGUUCUGACGUGCAAAUCGAUCGUCAAAUCUGAGCAUGGGGCGAAAGACUAAUCGA